ensembl:lncRNA
GACACUCCUUUUGAGCUGGGAAACCAUCAUCCAUGACAUGAUUUAGCAUUUAACAGGCUGCUGAGUUGAAAAUAGAUUGAGAGGGGAGGGGGGCCAAUUAAGAGAGGCCUGAUUACAAUCCAGGUGAACAAAGAUGGCAACUGCUGGUCUCAGGCGGGUCACAAUAGAGGUUGUGAAAGCAGUCGGAUUCUAAACAUGUUUUUAAAGGUGAGUGUGGGUAUACCACGGAGAAGGUGACGGCACCCCACUCCAGUACUCUUGCCUGGAGAAUCUCAUGGAUGGAGGAGCCUGGUGGGCUGCAGUCCAUGGGGUCGCUAAGGUUCUCCCUUCCAGAUCUAACUCACCACGUGGACACACAUCGACUCCUGGCUCCCCGCCAGGACCAGCCCUCCACCUGGGCAAGAAGGCCGCUGCCCUGGACUCGGUCUUCCUGUGGCCCCUCUCUGCCCACACCCCUCUCCUUGGAGUGGGCAGUCUAUGGGAUCACAAGGAAGCGUCCACCUGAGCCCACAUACCCCCUCAAUGCUGUUACCAACCCAGGUCCUUGGGCUCUUUAGUCAAUAGCAAUUGAUAAGAGGCCAGACAAGAAAUUCAGGCUCGGCUUUCCUGGGACUCAUGCUGCAGAUGGGUCAAAAACAGGCAACAGGCGCCCUUGCUUGCUCUCCACUCUCUGAGGAGGGCGGCCUCCUUCCUUAAGUGGCAUAAAGGUGGGGUGAAUCAGUGGGUCUGGGUCAGGUGAAGGGGCGGCUUAGGUGGUCUCCCACCCCCUUGGUGGUGCUGAGCGCAGGGAUCACACACAGCACCCUGCUUUUGCUCCCCGCAUCUCAGAAAUGGGAGUUCGUCUAUGGCCUUUUUGUAUCUUAUUGUUCAUAAUUGCCUGGACUGCGCAUGCGUGCAGUUAUUUGUAGUCCCUUAUAGAUUCUUUUGUAUUGUUGUUUGAGGAGACGUUUGUCCAAGUGCAAGCACACAAGUAGAGAAUCUCAGGUCUUAGCCUAUCUCAGUGCCACGUUUCAACAUCUGGAGCUGCAGAAUUCACUGCUCAGACAGCCCCAGCCUCCUUCCACAGCCUGCACAGGCCUCUUUCCAGGCAAUCCCCUGAAGGUGAAUAGGGAGGGUCAGCAUGUGCACUCCAGGCCAGCCAUUUGCAAGGAUUCAGACUUUGGAUGUGUGUGUGCUGAGGUGUCUAUUCGAUGUGGGAGGGAGUCAGGGGUGAAAAGAGAAAGUGAAAGGCUACAGGCUUCCUCUGCUCCAUCUCACCCCAGUGCAAAAUUCCAAAGAUGGUGAAAAUUCUGAACAGGAACCUGCCUUCAGGUCAUUAUGAAGGCCCAUGCGUCCAGAUGAGCAGAGAGGUGUGUUUAACAGAUUGAUAGUGGGAGUUAAGACUCUUUAAUAUUUAGCCAUAUGGCCUGUGGCCUCUAUUUGGGCUCUUGUCUUGGGCCCCACAAAGGUUCCAGUCAGGCCUGUGCCAUAGGUACAACUCUGCUGCCCUCCUGCAGGGAUGCUCCUCCCCUUCUCCACCUCUAUCUGAACCCAAAAUGCACUCAAGGCCCAUGUGGAGAUCAUCAGUCACUUUAAACUGCCAUCAAUCCUAUCUCCUUUCGACUCAGCUGGUACCUGAAACUUUCUCUUCUGGAAGAAACCCAUUCCCUUUGGUUUAGAUGGGGCUGAGCCACUAGGGACUAUCAAAAAAAGACUGUCUCCCCGUGAUGGAGAGACAAGCCAGCACAGGGAGAAGAAAGCACAAACCAUUGUGGAGCAGGAGGGAGACCGAGCUCAAGGAACCUCUGGCAGCUCCUGGAUCCAUCCAAACCUGAUCGUAGAACUCCCUUGGCCUUCACAAUUACUCCAAUAAAUGCCCCCCUUUUUGAUUAAGCUGGUUGAAGUUGGAUUUCUGUUACCGGCAACUGAAAAGAGCCUUACUAAUCAUUCUCAUUCAUACAC